rnacentral:ncRNA from 1 species
AACGAAACUUUGCACAGUAGACCUAGUAAACCUCAGUAAGCAAAGUAUGGAUUGAUAGACAGCCCGAUUUCUGUACCUUUACCCAGAAAUAUGGGCGUCUUCCGUGCUGCUUACUGGAGAACUCUGUUCUCGCCUUUACUAGGAGGUGCUGUGCGUGCGGGAGGCGACCAUAUUUCAUUGUUCCCUCCUGCUUAUAGGAUCAUUGCUUUA